rnacentral:rRNA from 1 species
CUUUACUGUAGCUUUGCAUUGGACUUUGAACCGGUCUGUGUAGGUUAGGUGGGAGGCUGUGAAACCGGGACGCUAGUUUCGGUGGAGCCAACCUUGAAAUACCACCCUGAUUUGUUUGAGGUUCUAACCUUGAUCCGUGAAUCCGGAUCGGGGACCGUGCAUGGUAGGCAGUUUGACUGGGGCGGUCUCCUCCCAAAAGGUAACGGAGGAGUACGAAGGUACGCUUAGGGCGGUCGGACAUCGCCCAUAAAGUGCAAUGGCAAAAGCGUGCUUGACUGCGAGACCCACAAGUCGAGCAGGUGCGAAAGCAGGUCAGAGUGAUCCGGUGGUUCUGUAUGGAAGGGCCGUCGCUCAACGGAUAAAAGGUA